ACACCUCCUUAGUUGUUCCCUGAUGUUAGCGGCGGACGGGUGAGUAACACGUGGGUAACCUGCCUGUAAGACUGGGAUAACUCCGGGAAACCGGGGCUAAUACCGGAUGGUUGUUUGAACCGCAUGGUUCAGACAUAAAAGGUGGCUUCGGCUACCACUUACAGAUGGACCCGCGGCGCAUUAGCUAGUUGGUGAGGUAACGGCUCACCAAGGCGACGAUGCGUAGCCGACCUGAGAGGGUGAUCGGCCACACUGGGACUGAGACACGGCCCAGACUCCUACGGGAGGCAGCAGUAGGGAAUCUUCCGCAAUGGACGAAAGUCUGACGGAGCAACGCCGCGUGAGUGAUGAAGGUUUUCGGAUCGUAAAGCUCUGUUGUUAGGGAAGAACAAGUGCCGUUCAAAUAGGGCGGCACCUUGACGGUACCUAACCAGAAAGCCACGGCUAACUACGUGCCAGCAGCCGCGGUAAUACGUAGGUGGCAAGCGUUGUCCGGAAUUAUUGGGCGUAAAGGGCUCGCAGGCGGUUUCUUAAGUCUGAUGUGAAAGCCCCCGGCUCAACCGGGGAGGGUCAUUGGAAACUGGGGAACUUGAGUGCAGAAGAGGAGAGUGGAAUUCCACGUGUAGCGGUGAAAUGCGUAGAGAUGUGGAGGAACACCAGUGGCGAAGGCGACUCUCUGGUCUGUAACUGACGCUGAGGAGCGAAAGCGUGGGGAGCGAACAGGAUUAGAUACCCUGGUAGUCCACGCCGUAAACGAUGAGUGCUAAGUGUUAGGGGGUUUCCGCCCCUUAGUGCUGCAGCUAACGCAUUAAGC
rnacentral:rRNA from 1 species